CGCACCAGCUGACCCUACCGCCACCACUUAGUAAUUGUUCUCCUAUUAAUACCAUUUUUCUAUUGUUGCUUGCUUUUUUGUCCAUGUACUCUCUAAUAGUUUAAUUGAAUGUAAAUUUAUAAUCAUAACAUAUAAAGCGAUUAGCAAUGUGCAUUUAAUUCUUUUUUUACUAUUUAUCGCUAUGUUCCCUACCAAACACAUUAUUUUUGUAACCUU
rnacentral:lncRNA from 7 species